rnacentral:rRNA from 1 species
AACGAACGCUGGCGGCAUGCCUAACACAUGCAAGUCCAACGAGACCUUCGGGUCUAGUGGCGCACGGGUGCGUAACGCGUGGGAACCUGCCCUUAGGUUCGGAAUAACUCCCCGAAAGGGGUGCUAAUACCGGAUAAUGUCUUCGGACCAAAGAUUUAUCGCCUUUGGAUGGGCCCGCGUUGGAUUAGCUAGUUGGUAGGGUAAAAGCCUACCAAGGCGACGAUCCAUAGCUGGUCUGAGAGGAUGAUCAGCCACACUGGGACUGAGACACGGCCCAGACUCCUACGGGAGGCAGCAGUGGGGAAUAUUGGACAAUGGGUGAAAGCCUGAUCCAGCAAUGCCGCGUGAGUGAUGAAGGCCUUAGGGUUGUAAAGCUCUUUUACCCGGGAUGAUAAUGACAGUACCGGGAGAAUAAGCUCCGGCUAACUCCGUG